AGAGUUUGAUUCUGGCUCAGGACGAACGCUGGCAGCGUGGAUUAGGCAUGCAAGUCGAACGGGAAGCCGUUGAUCAAUCUUCGGAGAGUGAAGCGGUGGAGAGUGGCGAAAGGGUGAGUAACACGCGCAUAAGCUACCCUCAAGUUGGGGACAACCCAGCGAAAGCGGGGCUAAUACCGGAUGUGGUCUUCCGACGCCUGUCGGGACGACCAAAGGUGGGGAUCCUUCGGGACCUGCCGCUUGAGGAGGUGUGCGCGCGCCAUUAGCUUGUUGGUGAGGUAACGGCUCACCAAGGCUUAUGGCUAGCUGGUCUGAGAGGAUGACCAGCCACACUGGGACUGAGAUACUGCCCAGACUCCUACGGGAGGCUGCAGUCGAGGAUCAUUCGCAAUGCGCGAAAGCGUGACGAUGCGACGCUGCGUGGAGGAUGACGGCCUUCGGGUCGUAAACUCCUGUCAUUCGGGAAAAAUGGCCCCAUUCCUAUAAAGUUUGGGGUGUGAUGGUACCGGAAGAGGAAGCCACGGCUAACUCUGUGCCAGCAGCCGCGGUAAUACAGAGGUGGCUAGCGUUGUUCGGAUUUACUGGGCGUAAAGGGUGUGUAGGCGGCUUCGUAUGUCGGAUGUGAAAGCCCAUGGCUCAACCAUGGAAUUGCAUUCGAAACUGCGGGGCUAGUGGACAGAAGGGGAGAGCGGAAUUCUAGGUGUAGCGGUGAAAUGCGUUGAUAUCUAGAAGAACACCGGUGGCGAAGGCGGCUCUCUGGAAUGUUUCUGACGCUGAGACACGAAAGUCGGGUUAGCAAACAGGAUUAGAUACCCUGGUAGUCCCGACCGUAAACAUGUGCACUUGGUGUGGGGGGUAUUGACCCCCCCCGUGCCGGAGCUAACGCGUUAAGUGCACCGCCUGGGGAGUACGGCCGCAAGGCUAAAACUCAAAGAAAUUGACGGGGGCCCGCACAAGCGGAGGAGCAUGUGGCUUAAUUCGAUGCAACGCGAAGAACCUUACCUGGGCUUGACAUGGUACUGCACGCCCGUCGAAAGGCGGGAAUCCUUCGAGGGUGUACCACAGGUGCUGCAUGGCUGUCGUCAGUUCGUGCCGUGAGGUGUUGGGUUAAGUCCCGCAACGAACGCAACCCUUGUGGUUAGUUGCCGCCGCGGGUGAUGAGCCCGCGAGCACUCUAGCCAGACUGCCCGUACAAGCGGGAGGAAGGUGGGGAUGACGUCAAGUCAGUAUGGCCCUUACGCUCAGGGCUGCACACGUGCUACAAUGGCCGGUACAAUGGGACGCAAUAUCGCGAGGUGGAGCAAAUCCCCAAAACCGGCCUCAGUUCGGAUUGGAGUCUGCAAUUCGACUCCAUGAAGUUGGAUUCGCUAGUAACGGCGCAUCAGCUACGGCGCCGUGAAUACGUUCCCGGGCCUUGUACACACCGCCCGUCACAUCAUGAAAGCCGUCUGCACCCGAAGUCGCUGAGCUAACCCGCAAGGGAGGCAGGUGCCGAAGGUGUGGGUGGUGAUUGGGAUGAAG
rnacentral:rRNA from 1 species